GCAAGUCGAACGGUAACAUGAGAGCUUGCUCUUGAUGACGAGUGGCGCACGGGUGCGUAACGCGUAUGCAACCUACCCUUUACUGGGGGAUAGCCCGGAGAAAUUCGGAUUAAUACCCCAUGGUACUGUAAUGUAGCAUUACAUAGCAGUUAAAGAUUUAUUGGUAAAGGAUGGGCAUGCGUGACAUUAGUUAGUUGGUAAGGUAACGGCUUACCAAGACGAUGAUGUCUAGGGGGUCUGAGAGGAAGGUC
rnacentral:rRNA from 1 species